CCUACGGGUGGCAGCAGUGAGGAAUAUUGGUCAAUGGGAGAGAUCCUGAACCAGCCAAGCCGCGUGAGGGAAGACGGCCCUAUGGGUUGUAAACCUCUUUUGUCGGAGAACAAAACCCGGGACGUGUCCCGGACUGCGUGUAUCCGAAGAAAAAGCAUCCGCUAACUCCGUGCCAGCAGCCGCGGUAAUACGGAGGAUGCGAGCGUUAUCCGGAUUUAUUGGGUUUAAAGGGUGCGUAGGCGGUCCGUUAUGUCAGCGGUAAAAUGGCGGGGCUCAACCCCGUCGAGCCGUUGAAAUGGGCAGACUUGAGUUGGCGAGAGGUACGCGGAAUGCGCGGUGUAGCGGUGAAAUGCAUAGAUAUCGCGCAGAACGCCGAUUGCGAAGGCAGCGUACCGGCGCCAGACUGACGCGGAGGCACGAAAGCGUGGGGAGCGAACAGGAUUAGAUACCCCAGUAGUC
rnacentral:rRNA from 1 species